UGUUUUUGGGCCUUUUUGCCCUACGCCUGGGGGGCCAGCACGGUGUCCCUCAGCGCCUUGCCUUCACCUCAGCUGUCUUCUUUUCGAGCGGCUCGAAGAGCAGGCUAAACCUCACAUCAAGCUGAAUUCUGAAGAUAAGUUGUCACCUGUGCACAAGCUCCCUAUACUGGACUCAUGAAACAAACCAGAACUAUCUAAGUCAAGGGAUUCCAAUCAACUGGUCAAGUUUAAGAGAUGGACCUGACAGGGUACUAGAUAUAUGAGUAGCUCCAUGAACACUUGCUGAGAAAAUAAGUGAACGGCUAGACAAGUGAGGUCGUUACCUAACCCGUCAUAAAUUAUACUGGAAUCCCCAUUUUCCAGGAGAAGAAAAAAUGCCCAAGACUGAUGUUUCUGAGGAUUAAACACCUAGAUAGGGUGACAGUACCCUGACAUACUCAAAUUCUAGAAGCAAGCUGCUCCCUAUUACCCUCGCCCUCCUCAAGAAGCUGAUCCAUCUGUACUUCAAAUGAAGAAGUAAUUACCAAGUAACUGUCAGGGGCCGUGGAGGAUGCUAGGAAUACAGACAUCUACUAUCUUCAGGGAUUGGAAUUCACAGUCUACAGGAGCAUAAACAUACAAGUCCCAAACUCUGACUUUGCUCCCCAAAUCUGCUUCAGCCUCAGUCUUCCUCACCUCAACGGAGAUACCCCAUCCUCCUCCCAGCUGCUCAAGGCUGAAAUAGGAAAAUCAUCCUUAUUCCUCUCCUGCCCUGUUCCGUGGUUCCUGUUCAUUCUGCCUCUGAAAAGUAUCUGAAAUCAUCUCGCUUCUGUUACCACUGCCACCCUCCUCGCCAAACUGGGACCACUGCAACAGCCUCCAACUGGCCCCGUCUUCUGCUUUUCAUCCCCUGCAAUCCACACAGCAGGUAGGGUGACUUGUGAAAAUAUAAACAGAAUGCCUCUGCUGCUUAAAACUCUCCAGUGACUUCCCAUUUCCCAUAGAAUAAAAUAUAAACUCCUUGCUCUCACCCCAGUAGAUCAGCAGGACUUGGCCCCUGCCUCACUCUCCCAGCUAUCUAAUACCACGCUUCUUCUGGCUGGUCAUGUUUCCCUCACACUGGCUUCUCUCCCCUCCUCUCCCACCAAAGCCACCACCGCACAAGCACAGACUGUGGCAUUGCUCUCCCUCCAUCCGCCAGCCCCCCAAUCCCAACCUAACUAUGGCUGAUGCUCGGGUCUCAGAUGUCACUUCCUCAUCCAGGCACUCCCCCAACCCACACUGUCUGAGGACCCUGUUCUUUACCCCUGGCUCUUAUUUCAUUUAUAAAUUGUCACUUCCUUG